ensembl:lncRNA
AGUUUAUAUGGGGUUUUUUCGUGGAUGUGGUGCAGGCCGAGCUCACAUCUGGAUAGCCACUUAUGGUCUGGGCCAUGAAAGGUGUUCCCAGUGUGGGUCCUUGACCAUCAUACACAUACACCUGUGUUCCUCUGAAGUGUGUGACAGCAGCGAGGAGGUACAUGCCCGGGCCUGGUUCAAGGAAACUACAGAUUUGAAUGACUGAAGAGGGAGGAGCUUUCAGUCUCCAUUGCUUCUUAAGGAAAUGUAAUAGAGUCUAAUUGAAGAGAAUAUGAUUCAAGAUACAGACUGGAAUUUCUUAGUCAAGGAUCACUGACCUCAACUAUUUUACAAAACUUAUCAGCAGAACGUUUGAUUUGCUACAAAUCCCAAAAGACCUGGUGUGGUGAUGGCUUCCUGCUACUGCCCAUCUAAAGUCACCUCACUGCAGUUAUCACCAACUCUUAACAUCUGGGUAAAUGAUUUCCUACAUUUGAUUUCCUCUGUUGUCCUUAAAGCGUUCCUUUGUUAUGAGGAGGGUAAGUGCAUUACCUUUCUAGGGAUGCUGUGACAAACUGCCACAAACUGGGCUGUUUUAAACAACAGACAUUUAUUCUCUGACAGGUUAGGACAUCACAAGUCUAAAACUGAGGCAACAGAGUUUCCUGGUGGCUCAGCAAGUUAAGGGUCUUGCGUUGUCACUGCUGUAGCUUGGGUCACUGCUGUGGGGGUGGGUUUGAUUCCUGCCCUAGAACUUCCACAUGCCAUGGAUACAGCUGAAACAAACAAACAAACAAACAAACAAAACCAAGGCAUCAGUAGAGAUGGUUCCUUCUGGAGGCUCCGAGGGAGAAUCUGUUCCAUGAUUCUCUCCUAACUUCUAGUGAUUGCCCAUAGUCCUUGACAUUCUUUGGCUUGAAGGUGCAUCUCUUCAAUCUCUGCAUCCAUCUUCACAAGGCUUCUCCUCUGUGUUUCUCUGUCUCAGCUCUUCCUCUACUUUUUAUAAGGAUGUUAGUCAUUGGAUUUAGGGUCUAAUCUACACCUAAGAUCCUUAAUUUAUUACAUCUGCAAAGACCCUAUUUUUCAAAUAAGGUCACAUCCAUAAAAACCAGGAGUUAAGACUUGGACAUAUCUUUUGGGAGUCACUGUUCAACUCAUUAUAAAUUUUCCUCCAUUUUCCUGUUUAGAUGCCAAGAGACACAGAAUGGCCCCCACUCUCACAUUCUGAAAUAGCAUUGUCUAAUCAAAUUUUCUAUGAUGAUGGAAAUAUUUUCUGUCUGUACUGUCCAAUUUGGUAACCAUUAGACAUGUGUGCCUACUGAGUACCUGAAAUGUCGUUAGUGUAGCUAACUGAAUUUUUAAACUUUUUCAUCUUAAUUUAAAUUUCAGUCAUUACGUGUGUUUGGAAGCUAUUGUAGACAUAUAUUGCUUGGACAGCAGAGAAGUUCUAUAGCGAAGGAUUGACAGACACCCAUCACACUAGUUCCAAUGUAGUGAGUGUCAGGAGGCUACAGACUUGGGGAAAAGCAGUCAGAGAUAGAGUCACAAAAGCAAUGACAUUGGAGUCAUAACGAUAGUCACCAUGCUUUGCCAGGUUGGAAAGAGGCUUUCAGCUACCAAAAUAACAGGCAUGAAGGCAUGGAAUGGAAGGAUUUAUCAUAUAACAUCUAGUGUGUGUAGUCCCAGAGGAAAUGAGGCCGCAGAGUUUACUUGUAGAUAACUCAAUUGUCAUAUAGGAAAAUUUGAACUUUGCCCAUGGUGUAAAACAAGAAAGUGGAAAGUUCAUAGUAUUUUUCCUGCUUGAUGUAUGAUUGAUAAAUAAAAUGGAUAUAUGUGUUUAAGGUAUACAACAUGAUGGUAUAAUAAUAGUAUCCAUUGUGAAAUGAUUACCACAAUCAAGCUAAUUAACAUAUCCAUCACGUCACAUAGUUACCACUUUUGUGUGUGUGGUGAGAACACUUAGGAUCUGCUCUCUUAGCAAAUUUCAAAUAUACAAUACGGUGUUACUAAUGAGAGUCAUCAUGCUGGACAAUAGAUAUCCAAAAAUUUAUUCAUACUGUAUAACCAAAACUUGGUACCCUCUGACCAAUAUCUAUCUCCCCUACUCUUAGCUCCUGGCAGCCACCAUUCCACAUCCUGCUUUUGCAAUAUGACUUUCUUAGAUUCUACUUGUAAAGGAAGAUGUUACUUAUUUUUAAAAGGCAGCAUUACCUGGAAAUAGGAUCGAGGAUGAGGUGAAGUAAGGGAAGCCCAGAACAGUUUCUUGUUCUACUUCCUCACUAGGAAUCUGUAUGGCAUAUGCCAAACACUACAAUUAUCCAAAUUUGAGCGAUGAGGAAACCGUGUUGAGUUUACUGCAUAACAGAAUCGGGUACAUGUUUCCAUUCUGUAUGUGCAGACUGCUUAGUAAAAGCAUUUCAUUUUGUAGAGGAUUAAAGUCUUAAAAAAAAAAAAAAAA